rnacentral:lncRNA from 1 species
CUCACAUUAUCCUCCGUCAUGAUCCAUCACAAGUGACUAGAUAUAGUUACCUGUGCUAUACAGCAGGAUCUCCUUGCUUAUCCAUUCCACAUGCAAUAGUUUGCAUCUAUUAGCCCCAGAUUCCUAGUCCAUCCCACUCCCUCCCCCUCCUCCUUGGCAACCACAAGUGUGUUCUCCAAGUCCAUGAGUUUAUUUUAUGUAGAAAGGUUCAUUUGUGCCAUAUAUUAGAUGCCAGUUAUAAAUGACAUCAUAUGGUAUUUGUCUUUCUCUAUGACUUACUUCACUUAGAGUCUCUAGUUCCAUCCAUGUUGCUGCAAAUGGCAUUAUUUUGGUUUUUUUAAUGGCUGAGUAGUAUUCCAUUGUGUAUAUUUUCUUAAUCUAUUCAUCUAUCAGUGGACAUCUAUGUUGUUUCCAUGUCUUGGCCAUUGUGAAUAGUGCUGCAAUGAGCAUAUAUAGGUGCACGUAUCUUUUUCAAGGAAAGUUUUGUCCGGAUAUAUGCUCAAAAGUGAGAUUUCUGGGUCAUGUGGUUCCAUAUUUAAUUUUCUGAGGUACCUCCAUACUGUUUUCCACAGUGGUUGUUCCAAUUGACAUUCCCACCAACAGUGUAGGAGGGUUCCCUUUUCUCCACACCCUCUCCUGCGUUUGUUAUUUGUUGACUUGUUAAUGAUGGUCAUUCUGACUGGCGUGAGGUGGUACCUCAUAGUAUUUUUGAUUUGCAUUUCUCUAAUAAUUAGUGAUGUUGAGCAUUUUUUCAUGUGCCUGUUGGCCAUCUGUAUAUCUUCUUUGGAGAAAUGUCUAUUCACGUCUUUUGCCCAUUUUUCAAUUGGGUUGUUGGGUUUUUUUUGCUGUUGAGUUGCAUAAGUUUUUGUAUAUUUUAGAUUAAGCCCUUGUCAGUUGCACCAUUUGAAAAUAUUUUCUCCGAUUCUGUAGGUUGUCUUUUUUUUAAUGAUUUCCUUUGCUAUGCAAAAGCUUGUCAGUUUGAUUAGGUCCCAUUGAUUAAUUUUUACUUUUAUAUCUGUUGCCUUGGGAGAAUGACCUAAGGAAACAUUUGUACUUUGUAUAGAUGAUGUCAGAGAAUGUUUUUCCAGUGGUCUCUUCUAGGAGUUUGAUGGUGUCUUGUCUUAUAUUUAAGUCUUUCAGCCAUUUUGGGUUUCUUUUUGUGCAUGGUGUGAGGGUGUGUUCCAGUUUCAUUAUUUGCAUGCAGAUGUCUGGUUUUCCCAGCGCCACUUGGUGAAAAGACUGUCUUUCUCCCAUUUUAUAUUCUUGCCUCCUUUGUAAAAGAUUAAUUGACCAUAGGUGUCUGGGUUUAUUUCUGGGUUCUCUAUUCUGUUCCAUUGGUCCGUAUAUCUGUUUGGUAUCAGUACCACACUGUCUUGAUGACUACAGCUUUAUAAUAUUGUGUGAAGUCUGGGAGAGUUAUGCCUCCUUCUUGGUUUUUGUUCCUCAGGACUGCUUUGGCAAUGCUGGGUCUUUUAUGGUUCCAUAUAAUUUUUUGGAUUGUUUGUUCUACUUCUGUGAAAAAUGUCAUGGGUAAUUUGAUAGGGAUUGCAUUGAAUUUGUAGAUUGCUUUGGGUAGUAUGGCCAUAUUUACAAUAUUAAUUCUUCCAACCCAGGACCAUGGAAUGUUUUUCCAUUUCUUUGAAUCCUCUUUAAUUUCCUUGAUUAAUGUUUUACAGUUCUCAGCAUAUAAGUCUUUCACCUCCUUGGUCAGGGUUAUCAAUAUCUUAUAAUAACUUAUAAUGGAAGAGAAUGUAAAAAAAAAAAAAGCAUAUAUAGGCAUUCCCAUUGUGGCUCAGUAGUAACAAACCCUAAUAGUAUCCAUGAGAAUGCAGGUUUGAUUCCUGGCCUCGUUCAGUGGGUUAAGGAUCCAGCAUUGCUGUGAGCUGUGGCUCAGAUCUGGCGUUGCUAUGGCUGUGGCUGGCAGCUGUAGCACUGACUCAUCCCCUAGCCUGGGAACUUCCAUAUGCCACAGUGUGAUAAUUGAAAAACAAAACACUGUAUUGAUCUUUUCUUGGCCUUGAGAUCACUAUUGAUGUUCAUGCCACUUCCCAAAAGGUGAAUAAGGUCUGCCACAUACGAGCUAUUAGAGCUUUGGCAUGUAAGUCCCUGCUCAAAGCCUCAGUGUGGUAAUCUGGAGAACAAGACUGAGGCUGACAAGGAAGGACUGAUGGAAGAAAAAUUCUCCAUAGACACCCGGCACAUUGUACAUCCACCACAGAGGGUAACUUUUAUUUGCUUAUUUUUUUAUGCAAAAUUCUAUCAGGCUUAGUUGGAGAUUUUUACUGACGCUUCACGUUCAUGACAUUUCAGCUUUUGUUAUAAUAAAAAGUAAGUACUUAAGAUUGUUCAUAGCAGAUUUAUCCAUAAUAGCCCCAAACUGGAAACAGCCUGUUCCAUCAAGCAGAGUGGAUAAACAAACUCCAGCCUGUUCUUACAAAGCUCAGCAAUCAAAAGCAAGGAGUGACUCGUGUCUGCAGCCAUGGGGACACAUCCCAAAUCACUACGUUGAGUGAAAAGAAGCCAGCCACAGAAGGGGACAUAAUGUAUGACUCCACAUAUUUGUGGAAAAAUUUAUCUGUGGUGGGAAAACAAAACAAAACAAAACAGAAGCGUGAUUGCAUCUGGAGGGUGGGGGCAGGGUGUGACUGAGAAGGGACUUGAGGGAGCAUUCUGGAAUGUUCCAGAGUCCUUCACCUGGGAGAGUUUCUUACUUUGCAUGUGUGGUAGAAUUCUUUCCUCACAUCUGUGUCCUCACCAUACUGCAGGUCCCUAGAGCCAGAGACAAGGUGUGGCUCACCACUGUCUCUCUAGUCCCAAGCACAGUAGCUGGCUUUGGCCAGAUACCACUUAAUGUUCAUGGAAGGAAGUAGAAGGAGAGGAGAGGGUGGGGUGGCCCUGAGGCCAACCUGGCUGACCCAACUGACCUCCAGGCAUGGGGAGCACAGGGGAUCAGGGCUCUGAGCUUGGAGGUGGAGGUACAGCUCCAGGUUGGGACAUGUACAGCCAGGGAUCUGAGCCAGUCCUGUUCCUAGGAGAUGGAACUGCUUGGACUUUGCCCUGUAGAGAGUCCUAGAGGCCGUCUAGUACACCUCCAUUCUUCCCUCCUUCCCUUGCUCCUUCACUGGGUCAGACCAGCAGCCCCAGGUGCCCACUCUUCAAAUCCUUCCCAGCUCAUCCCCAUUUUCUCCAGCAGGAAUUUCCUCAACCUCACCAGUUGCAUCCCAUAUUGGCAUCUACUUUUCGGAAGAUACAAGCUCAGAGUUCCCAUCAGGGCUUAGUGGAAACGAAUCGGACUAGUAUCCAGGAGGAUGCAGGUUUGAUCCCUGGCCUCACUCAGUGGGUUAAGGAUCUGCUGUUGCCAUGAGAUGUGGUGUAGGUUGCAGACGCAGCUCAGAUCUGGUUUAGCUGUGGCUGUGGCGCAAGUGAGCAGCUGUAGCUCUAAUUUGAUCCCUGGCCUGGGAAACUCCAUAUGCCAUGGGUGUGGCCCUAAACAGGCAAAAAAAAAAAAGAAAAAAAAAGAAAAAAAGAAAAGGAAACGAAGAUGCAGGUUCACAGAGAGGGAGGGGACGAACAUGUAAGGAAGGAAGCCAGACCUCCAAAAAGCUCCCUACUGCUUCAUGGUGACAGCAACUUCUAGUGGCCACCUUAUGUGGCUCUGUAUUGUAAUUCUCGUUUUUCUCAUCUCAGUGCCUUGCCUCCAUGGUCAGCUUCCUGAAGGGGGAAGGCAUGGCUAAUGUGCUAUGUAGUUUUGGCUUUUCCAGGACAGGAAAGCAGCACCUACCACGCCUUGAUCAUAGAGGAAGCAGAGUCCUGGGCCCUCAAACAAACAGCCAAACAAAGGAUGAAAAACACUGUUUUCCAAACUGUAGCUUGUGACCCAUUACUGGGUCAGUUGAGUGAGUCUCAACCACCAUUAAAAGAAAUUAAAAAAAAGAAACCCAAAAAAGAGAAACUGAGUCAAACAGAGCAGAACAAGGUGUAUGUAUCAGGAUGUAUCACAGAAAGAAGGGGUCAAUUCUGUGAUCUGGGCAUUUUGUUUCAGUUUUUACAGAUAGGCGUGUUUGUACCAGGUUGUGGGGUGAAAUAUAUUUCUUAACGAUGGUGGGUCAUGGUAAAAAAUGUUUGGAAGUAAGUUCCCAUCGUGGCUCAGUGGCUAACAAACCCAACUAGUAUCCAUGAGGAUGCAGGUUUGAUCCCUGGCCUCGGUCAUUGGGUUAAGUAUCUGGCGUUGCCGUGAACUGUGGUGUAAGUCACAGACAUGGCUCUGGAUCCCACGUUGCNAAAAAAAAAAAAAAAAAAAAAAAAAAAAAAAAAAGCUUGGAAAACACUGAUAUACUGGCAUUGGCUAGUCCAGCAUUUCUCCAGGACACACUUAUCAACCAAAGUGUUCCUUUCGAAAGGAUUUCCUAAGGGAGUUCCCUCGUAGCUCAGCAGUGGGUGAGGUAUGUGGCAUCGUCACUGCUGUGGCACAGGUUCAAUUCCUGGCCCUGGAACUUCUGCAUGCCAGGGGUAUGACUAACAAACAAACAGACAAACAAAGGGAUGUCCUAGGCAAAUUGCUAGGACCCCCUGGAGCAGAUCACAGACUCACGGAGAGAAAAGUCCCCUCAGGUGACCUCAAUCUUCUUGGAGGUUCACAGGGCUUAGAGGCUUUAAAGACUGUGUCUGCAUCAUCAAGUCUACGGAAUAUAGGGCUUUUUAAACAAGUUUGAGCACUCAAUGCCUCCUCCCUCUUUUCUGCUGAAUCGCAGAGCACCUGUAUCUCUCUCCCUAGACACAACCCUGGAGAGACACUGACCCAGCUCAUCCCCUGCUCCAUGGAUUACCAUACUCUCCUUGUUGGGGGGAUGGGGUUGCCAGGGAGGAGGCUGACCCCCACCCCUUGACAUCUGAGCUCCCACUCAGACGAUGAUUUUGCAUGCAGCUUCUUCAUACACUCAGAGACCCACUUGGGACAAGGACAUCAAAUGGCUUUUCCCAUUACUCUCCAAUAGGCCCCCAGGAUGCAUCUGCACUCUCACCCCUGGCCCUUCUGUGCCAAGUGCAUGCAUUUGCAAGACAGUGGCCUGUUCCUGGGGUAACUCCUGGGCCAUGAAGAGAGGCAAGUUAAGUGGCCCAUGUGGACACUGAGCUGUAACCUGGGUUUAUUCCACAUGCUUGGUGACACAGAGUUAAAUAGUCAGGCGCUCUCAGCAAAUGAAAGUGUUCCUAUUGGCCCAACAGAACCUGCUGCUCACCUAUAAUUGGCAAGGAGCUUAGUCUGUCUUUGAGGACAAUCUGGGAGUUGGGAGGUCUCGGUUCUAUACUAUGUCCUUGCUGUGGAGACUGGGGAAGCCCCUGGACCUUAUGGAUAAAAUCAGGUGUCAGACUAAGUGACAGACAGUAGAGGCAAAAGUGGGUCUCAGAAGGCUUUAAUUAUGUCUUUGGUUGAACAGACAAAGAAACUGAAGCUCAGAGAGGCCAAAUAAUUUUUAUUUAUUUAUUUUUUUAAUUUUUAAAAAUUUUUUUUGUCUUUUUGCUAUUUCUUGGGCCGCUCCCGCGGCAUGUGGAGGUUCCCAGGCUAGGGUUCCAGUCGGAGCUGUAGCCACCGGCCUAUGCCAGAGCCACAGCAACUCGGGAUCCGAGCCACGUCUGCAACCUACACCACAGCUCAUGGCAACUCCGGAUCGUUAACCCACUGAGCAACAGCAGGGACCGAACCCGCAACCUCAUGGUUCCUAGUCGGAUUUGUUAACCACUGCGCCACGACGGGAACUCCCCAAAUAAUUUUUAUUAGUCCACACAGCACACAUGUGAAGUCAGAAGAUGUCUAGCUCCUAUUUCAGCCCAUUCCCACCUGACCAGGUUGUCAUUCUAGGGUCCCUGCUAUAGCAGUACCUUCCAGCACAUAAAGUAAUCAGAGUAGAGGGGCAGAAGGCACACAUACUCACCUGAGAGGUCUUUAAAUGGCAUCUUAAAAAAGACAGGAAAAAAUUAUAGAAAUUGUAAUUGUUUAACAGCAAUAUUUGCAUACUAUGACAUUUCUAAGUGCUUAAAAAAAUCUUCUAAGCUCAAUAUAAGUACAUGAAACAUUUCUCCCAUUUCUGUUUGGCAAACUUCUUCCUUAGUUCUAAAUAAGUGGCAUUUAUAUUAUUGGGUAUUUGUCCAAACUCUUAAUUAAUCAAGUCU